rnacentral:misc_RNA from 1 species
GUAAAGGGUAAAACUUUAAAACAUUCACAUGGUUAUGGGUUCUUGAUUUUCUGUUCUUCUUGUUGUUUGAUUUUGGGAAUUUAUGGACUCUUAGUAGACUAGAUUUUCCCGUCAGAGGUUUCUGAUUUCAUAACUGACGUUCGAAUCUCUGUUGGUCUUUUUCGUGUUCUGGGUUUUGGGUGAUGGUGGUGGCUACAAGGAUAAAAACAGACUUCUGUUUGGAAUUAGAAACUCAGAAUCUAUGUAUUCUAUGAUUCUCUCUUGUGGGUGUGUGUGAAUUUCUUAUCUUCAAUUUUUGGGUUGUUUCC